rnacentral:rRNA from 1 species
UACAGAGGUCUCAAGCGUUGUUCGGAUUCAUUGGGCGUAAAGGGUGCGUAGGUGGCGCCGUAAGUCGGGUGUGAAAUUUCGGAGCUUAACUCCGAAACUGCAUUCGAUACUGCGGUGCUUGAGGACUGGAGAGGAGACUGGAAUUCAUGGUGUAGCAGUGAAAUGCGCAGAUAUCAGGAGGAACACCGAUGGCGAAGGCAGCUCGCUGGGACGGUACUGACGCUGAGGCGCGAAAGCGUGGGGAGCAAACAGG